rnacentral:rRNA from 1 species
CCCUACUGCUAUCGGGGUGGGACUAAGACAUGCGAGUUGAGCGUCUCUAAGCCAUGGUAGAGACGCAGCGUACGGCUCAGUAACACGUGGCUAACCUACCCUUAGGACGGGGACAACCCCGGGAAACUGGGACUAAUACCCGAUAGGUGAGGAGGCCUGGAAUGGUUCUUAGUCGAAAAGGCGUUGAAACCAUGCUUUUCGACGUCGCCUAAGGAUGGGGCCGCGUCCGAUCAGGUUGUUGGUGGGGUAACGGCUCACCAAGCCUUUAACCGGUACGGGCCGUGAGAGCGGGAGCCCGGAGAUGGGCACUGAGACAAGGGCCCAGGCCCUACGGGGCGCAGCAGUCGCGAAAACUCCGCAAUGCGCGAAAGCGUGACGGGGCUACCCCGAGUGCCGUCCGCUGAGGAUGGCUUUUCCCCGGUGUAAUGAGCCGGGGGAAUAAGGAGAGGGCAAGACUGGUGUCAGCCGCCGCGGUAAUACCAGCUCUCCGAGUGGUAGGGAUGAUUAUUGGGCUUAAAGCGUCCGUAGCCGGCUUAGCAAGUCUCCUGUUAAAUUCAGCGACCUAAUCGUUGAGCCGCGGGAGAUACUACUAGGCUAGGAGGCGGGAGAGGCCGACGGUAUUCUCGGGGUAGGGGUGAAAUCCUAUAAUCCCGGGAGGACCACCAGUGGCGAAGGCUGUCGGCUAGAACGCGCUCGACGGUGAGGGACGAAAGCUGGGGGAGCGAACCGGAUUAGAUGCCCGGGUAGUCCCAGCUGUAAACGAUGCGGGCUAGGUGUUAGGGUGGCUACGUGCCACUCUAGUGCCGCAGCGAAGGCAUUAAGCCCGCCGCCUGGGGAGUACGGCCGCAAGGCUGAAACUUAAAGGAAUUGGCGGGGGAGCACCACAAGGCGUGAAGCGUGCGGUUU